GCUAGGUGUUGAGCAUUUACUCUUUGAAGAAGGAAAUGGCAACCCACUCCAGUAUUCUUGGCAGAAAAAAUCCCAUGGACAGAGGAGCAUGACGGGCUACAGUCCAUGGGGUUGCAGAAUCAGACACAUCUAAGCACCUGAGCAUGCACACGCAUUGGACUCUUACUACAUGAUUGCACCGUGAUCUGUGCUAGGCACACCAAGCAAAGAAGAUGGACGGGAGCUUGACUUCACAAUCUUAUGCGCUGUUAAUCAUAUAAAUGGUUAACAUCAUCACAGCUGCCCAUCUCAACUUGGAAUGAUUCUUUUGUUAAGACCUGGCACUCCAGUUACUUUCAAGGUGUGAGGACAGCCUUGGGUGAUUUAUUUCAUCCCAUAGUCCUGAGAUAUGGUCCUGGACAGAUGCCCGAGCUGUAACAUGCAAGAACUACCAAGGACUUCAGAACCAGUUUCUGGUGACCAAGAUGGGACCUGCUGAGACAUCUUACUUGCUCUGGAGCUUGCAGAUAGAAUCCGAGGAAAACUGGCAGAAGCUGGUGAAGGACCUAUGAACACGCAGACUCUGAAGACUGAUUCUGAUGCCCUCAAGACUACACACAGGAGAUGAAUGGUGCUUUGGUAUUU